CAGUAAAAGAGCCAAGAGUGAGUCAAGUUCUGUUUGGAAGAGGGUGUUUGAUUUCUUCCAAAGGGGAGAGGAUGCCAUCUAAUGGACAAGCUAGGAAUCACAGACAGCUUCAUGAUGAUUGCAUCAAGGCAAUACUUAUUGAGAUAUGUUCCUGGGUACUGGGAUGAAGGACGUGGUCUUGACACAGCUACAGUAGGAACAGGACCUCGGACCAGGGACAAGAUGUGGGUGAAGAUGCCUACGAGCUGUGUUGCCAAGUCUAACAGCUUCACUUCAUGCUUUCAUCAAGAAGCGGACCCCCUGGUUCAUACAUCAAUUCGGGUACUGGAGUAUGUUGGUGGACAUGUUUAGGAACGUAUCAAGUGUCUGUGGAGACAUACUCUUCCAUGCCACUACAGGACCCCAGUGUUGCUGCUUCAU